AUGGGUGAGAAGGGUCCAAUUGAGGAAAAUAAUAUUAAUGAGGAAGGAAAUGCUGACAUGGCAAAGAAGAAGGAAGUGAGGCGCAGUAAUAGAAUCAAAGGAAAGCACCCAAGAAUGAAGGAGCUUGCAGCUGAGGUUAAACACCGAGGCGAAGUUCUGGAGAAGAACGAACAGUCAAAUGCACCUCGUUUUGCGAGAAUGGAGACGAUGCAGUUAUCAUCAGAGUCACGCUUUGUGGAGUUGUCGAAAUCUAUGGAAAUGAUACUGAAAUAG